rfam:Rhizoclosmatium globosum strain JEL800 BCR33scaffold_45, whole genome shotgun sequence.
GCCUUCUUAGCUCAGUUGGUUAGAUCGCCUGCCUAGUAUCGUAAGAACAGCUAGCAGGAGGCCACCAGUUCAAAUCUGGUAGAAGGCA